GACGAACGCUGGCGGCGUGCUUAACACAUGCAAGUCGAACGGAGCACCCCUGAAGGAGUUUUCGGACAACGGAUGGGAAUGCUUAGUGGCGGACUGGUGAGUAACGCGUGAGGAACCUGCCUUCCAGAGGGGGACAACAGUUGGAAACGACUGCUAAUACCGCAUGAUACGUUGGAGCCGCAUGACUCCGACGUCAAAGAUUUAUCGCUGGAAGAUGGCCUCGCGUCUGAGUAGCUAGUUGGUGAGGUAACGGCCCACCAAGGCGACGAUCAGUAGCCGGACUGAGAGGUUGGCCGGCCACAUUGGGACUGAGAUACGGCCCAG
rnacentral:rRNA from 1 species